CGCACGUUUACCUAUGCGGCGUACGUGAUCGCGCGACGCGGUCUCUGUUUCGUAUUCAUUUACCGGACCGCCGGAUCGUUUUAUUUACAUUUUUCCGAACCAUUAUUGUCGGGAGUAGUGCGAAACCCGAGAAACAAUAACGCGACCGUCGUUCUACGAUUUCGAAAAUAUCGAUUUCGUUGUCGCGUACGCGUACCGCAAUGUUUUAACCGUAACGAGCGCCGCGCGUUGACGACGGACUACGUCGAAUUCGUUCGGUUUGUUUUUGUUGUUUUCGCGCCCCCAACCC